rnacentral:rRNA from 1 species
GAUGAACGCUGGCGGCGUGCCUAAUACAUGCAAGUCGAGCGAACAGACGAGGAGCUUGCUCCUCUGAUGUUAGCGGCGGACGGGUGAGUAACACGUGGAUAACCUACCUAUAAGACUGGGAUAACUUCGGGAAACCGGAGCUAAUACCGGAUAACAUGUUGAACCGCAUGGUUCAACAGUGAAAGACGGUCUUGCUGUCACUUAUAGAUGGAUCCGCGCCGCAUUAGCUAGUUGGUAAGGUAACGGCUUACCAAGGCAACGAUGCGUAGCCGACCUGAGAGGGUGAUCGGCCACACUGGAACUGAGACACGGUCCAGACUCCUACGGGAGGCAGCAGUAGGGAAUCUUCCGCAAUGGGCGAAAGCCUGACGGAGCAACGCCGCGUGAGUGAAGAAGGUCUUCGGAUCGUAAAACUCUGUUAUUAGGGAAGAACAAAUGUGUAAGUAACUAUGCACGUCUUGACGGUACCUAAUCAGAAAGCAACGGCUAACUACGUG